UUGAUCCUGGCUCAGAACGAACGCUGGCGGCAUGCCUAACACAUGCAAGUCGAACGAACCCUUCGGGGUUAGUGGCGCACGGGUGCGUAACGCGUGGGAAUCUGCCCUUUGCUUCGGAAUAACAGUGAGAAAUGACUGCUAAUACCGGAUGAUGUCUUGAGACCAAAGAUUUAUCGCCAAGGGAUGAGCCCGCGUAGGAUUAGGUAGUUGGUGGGGUAAAGGCCUACCAAGCCGACGAUCCUUAGCUGGUCUGAGAGGAUGAUCAGCCACACUGGGACUGAGACACGGCCCAGACUCCUACGGGAGGCAGCAGUGGGGAAUAUUGGACAAUGGGCGAAAGCCUGAUCCAGCAAUGCCGCGUGAGUGAUGAAGGCCUGAGGGUCGUAAAGCUCUUUUACCAGGGAUGAUAAUGACAGUACCUGGAGAAUAAGCUCCGGCUAACUCCGUGCCAGCAGCCGCGGUAAU
rnacentral:rRNA from 1 species